rnacentral:rRNA from 1 species
GAUGAACGCUAGCUACAGGCUUAACACAUGCAAGUCGAGGGGCAGCGGUAUCGAAAGCUUGCUUUCGGUAGCCGGCGACCGGCGCACGGGUGAGUAACGCGUAUCGAACCUGCCUCAUACUCGGGAAUAGCCUUGCGAAAGUAAGAUUAAUGCCCGGUGUUUUCAGAGUCCCGCAUGAGGCUUUGAACAAAGAUUUAUCGGUAUGAGAUGGCGAUGCGUCCCAUUAGCUUGUUGGCGGGGUAACGGCCCACCAAGGCAUCGAUGGGUAGGGGUUCUGAGAGGAAGGUCCCCCACAUUGGAACUGAGACACGGUCCAAACUCCUACGGGAGGCAGCAGUGAGGAAUAUUGAUCAAUGGGCGGAAGCCUGAACCAGCCAAGUAGCGUGCAGGAAGACGGCCCUCCGGGUUGUAAACUGCUUUUAGUUGGGAAUAAAACGGGGCUCGUGAGCCCCCUUGCAUGUACCAUCAGAAAAAGGACCGGCUAAUUCCAUG